rnacentral:rRNA from 2 species
UACGUAGGGGGCAAGCGUUGUCCGGAAUUAUUGGGCGUAAAGCGCGCGCAGGCGGUCAUUUAAGUCUGGUGUUUAAACCUUGGGCUCAACCUGGGGUCGCACUGGAAACUGGGUGACUUGAGUACAGAAGAGGAAAGUGGAAUUCCACGUGUAGCGGUGAAAUGCGUAGAUAUGUGGAGGAACACCAGUGGCGAAGGCGACUUUCUGGGCUGUAACUGACGCUGAGGCGCGAAAGCGUGGGGAGCAAACAGG